ACUUUGAUCCAUUCAAUCAAAAUUACUAUCGCAAUCCAAAAACUCUCAUUUGAGUUCAUCUCGCAUCCAAUUUGCACUGAAACAUUCAAUCACUUUCCAAAAUCAUUCCCACACCUCUAGAAUUACUCAAGAACGAUACACAUCCAGUUCAAACUUCUCUUCGAUCUCCCAGAUCAAAGUUAGCAUUAUAACCCGAAAAUUUCAGUAUAUUAUACUUUUCUUCCAAAAGCUCUAAAUCCACCUUGGUGGGGAGAUUCUAGAGAGAGAAUGAGAGAAAGAUGAGAAGAGAGAAAGAUGGAGGGUGUUCUCUGCUAGUGUGCAUGAGGAUAAGUUGUUGGGUCU
rnacentral:lncRNA from 1 species